UUUUUUUUUUUUUGAGACGGAGUCUUGCUCUGUCGCCCAGGCUGGGGUGCAGUGGCCAGAUCUCAGCUCUCUGCAAGCUCCGCCUCCCAGGUUUUCGCCAUUCUCCUGCCUCAGCGUCCCGUAUAGCUGGGACUACAGGCACCCGCCACCUCGCCCGGCUAGUUUUUUGUAUUUUUUUUUAAGUAGAGACGGGGUUUCACCGCGUUAGCCAGCAUGGUGUCGAUCUCCUGACCUCGUGAUCCGCCCAUCUCAGCCUUCCAAAGUGCUGGGAUUACAGGCUUGAGCCACCGCGCCCGGCAUACAAAUGUUUAAUACAUGAAAUCGUAUCACACAUACAAUUUUCUAUCUGCUUUUAAAAAAUUGUCCAUGGAGACCUUUUCAUCACUAUAUCCUCAUCCUCAUUUUAAAGGCUGUGUAUUAUUUCACGGUGCGGAGGAAAGUCUUUUAAAGACUGUGUGUUAUUUCACGGUGUGGAGGAAAGUUCAGGUAUUUGUCACUCACCUGCUGUUGUUGGAUAUUUGGGUGAUCUAGAGUGGAGAUAUUUAAAUACUUUUAAAGUGCUUUUGGGAUGUGAAUUCUAAUACUCAGGCAUCGGGCACCAGUGUACAAUCAAAAGCCCCUCUCAGAAGGUGACAGAAGGUCCCCAUGUCCCAGAAUUAGCUCCAAGAAAACCCAAAAUGAAAAACGGACCUUGAUCCCCAGCUGAGUUUUUCACAGGGUGACCUUGAGCAAGCUGUGCGUGCAGCCUAGCCUUUGCCGGGUCUCCCCACCACAAAAGAGCUCUCCGGAAUAUUCGAGGAGGGGUGGGACUCCCAGGAACAAAGCACACGCUCUUUCUUGCACAGCCCCCUGUGGACAAAGCUGGAACCUGGGCCCGGGUGUGCUCCCAGCCUGCAAAUGGAGACGCUGCUUCAUUAUUCUCUCUAAAUGUAAACUUUAUUAUCAGCCCCUCUCCUACCCCAGGGAGUCCUGGCCAGCCCAUCUCCCCACUCCUCUAGAGCUGUUGGGGUGUGAGGUCUCAGGCAAGGCCGAACAUUCCAGGGCAGGGAAAGAAGGGGAGGGUGGGUUCUGGUUACCAAAGUGUUGCCCACACACGUGGCUUCCAAGAUGCCCAUCGCCUCGUUCCCUCCACCCACCGCUGGGCCCAGGGCUCUUUGCCAAAACUGCCUGUGGCCGCCAUGUCCCUGACCCCUGCUCCUCUGGGUCCACAAACUUCUCUUCUAAAGGAAAGGAUUCCAUGGGGAUGGAGGGAUUCUUCAACCUUCCUGCUUCCUCCUGCCCAAACCCUCAGGACCCAGGCUUUGUGGGCGCCUUCAGGCAGGCAGGAAGGGGAGGACCCAGGCUUUGUGGGUGCCUUCAGGCAGGAAGGAAGGUGUCUUGCAGGUGGCUUCAAUAUUCCCCCUACCACAGACCCCUCCAGACCAGAAGGACAGACUUGCCUCUCCCUGAGUAGAGAAGGGAAGGAAAUCCAGAGAGAACAAAAAUGAAUAUCCAAGCCCUUCUCCUGCCAUAGUCUCUCCCCGGCAAGUCCAGGUCCUCAAAAGGACACUUUCUUUCCCAUUCAGGUCCC
rnacentral:lncRNA from 1 species